rnacentral:rRNA from 1 species
UGCAAGUCGAGGGGCAGCACGGGUAGCAAUACCUGGUGGCGACCGGCAAACGGGUGCGGAACACGUACGCAACCUUCCCAUAACUGGUGAAUAGCCCUCCGAAAGGAGGAUUAAUACACCGUAACAUAAUGAAGUGGCGUCACUUUAUUAUUAUAGGCUUCGGCCGGUUUUGGAUGGGCGUGCGCCUGAUUAGGUAGUUGGCGGGGUAACGGCCCACCAAGCCUGCGAUCAGUAACUGGUGUGAGAGCACGACCAGUCACACGGGCACUGAGACACGGGCCCGACUCCUACGGGAGGCAGCAGUAAGGAAUAUUGGUCAAUGGACGAAAGUCUGAACCAGCCAUGCCGCGUGAAGGAUGAAGGCCCUCUGGGUUGUAAACUUCUUUUAUCUGGGACGAAAAAAGCUCAUUCUUGAGCACUUGACGGUACCAGAGGAAUAAGCACCGGCUAACUCCGUGCCGGCAGCCGCGGUAAUACGGAGGGUGCAAGCGUUAUCCGGAUUUACUGGGUUUAAAGGGUGCGUAGGUGGGUAGGUAAGUCAGUGGUGAAAUCUCCGAGCUUAACUCGGAAACUGCCAUUGAUACUAUUUAUCUUGAAUAUCCUGGAGGUGAGCGGAAUAUGUCAUGUAGCGGUGAAAUGCUUAGAUAUGACAUAGAACACCAAUUGCGAAGGCAGCUCACUACGGGAUUAUUGACACUGAGGCACGAAAGCGUGGGGA